GCACCAGUAUCAAAUACAUCAAUUAAUACAGUCAACAAUAUUAGUAAUAUAUAUAAAACACUAUGUUAUAUUUUAGAUUUGUACACACUAAAAACUGCUGGGUUAUUUUAACUACUCAUCUGCUGGGUUAUGAAAUGUCUAACCCAUUAUGAGUUAUUUCUAUGGGAACUGGGUUAUUUUUGGGGGGAUUUGGGUUGUUUUUGUGCAACUCAUGUGCUGGGUCAAAAUUUCGCAAAGUUCUUCAACCCAACAUGCAUCAGUUGACCCAGCAGCUGGGUUGUUUGUGCUUCGACUGUCAUCACGUUUACAGGACGUGCUCCUCCUCCACCAUUUCGCGCCCAGACAGGCUCCAUGCUCCUUCAGCAGCUCGCAGGUGCUCGAGAGAGACUGAUCAUCUUUGUGCCUGGAACAAAUAUGGUGGAGCACCUCCAUGAGGCCAUGGCAUCCAGACCUUACCCAUGUCCUGACACCGGGAAAUGACAAUCCUUGCUGGACAGGCUUUGGAAUUUUAAUCACAAUAAUAUUUUAGUUAUAAUUAAUAUGAAUAAUUGUUACAUUUUACAUUGUUGGCAUUCAGUUAUAAUAAAUUUCAAGGCAGUGCCUUGUAAAAAUUA